GGAUCGGACGCGGAUAUCGGAUGGCCGCACCCCGCUGUAAAUGGGGUCCCUAAAGGCACUGGGGGUUCAAUUCCCUCCCGAUCCA
rnacentral:tRNA from 1 species